rnacentral:rRNA from 1 species
CAUGCAGUCGAGCGGAUGAGUGGAGCUUGCUCCAUGAUUCAGCGGCGGACGGGUGAGUAAUGCCUAGGAAUCUGCCCGGUAGUGGGGGAUAACGUCCGGAAACGGGCGCUAAUACCGCAUACGUCCUACGGGAGAAAGCAGGGGACCUUCGGGCCUUGCGCUAUCGGAUGAGCCUAGGUCGGAUUAGCUAGUUGGUGAGGUAAUGGCUCACCAAGGCGACGAUCCGUAACUGGUCUGAGAGGAUGAUCAGUCACACUGGAACUGAGACACGGUCCAGACUCCUACGGGAGGCAGCAGUGUGGGCGAAAGCCU